AACGAACGCUGGCGGCAGGCCUAACACAUGCAAGUCGAACGCUGUAGCAAUACAGAGUGGCAGACGGGUGGGUAACGCGUGGGAACAUGCCCUUCGGUUCGGAAUAACUCAGGGAAACUUGAGCUAAUACCGGAUACGCCCUUAGGGGGAAAGAUUUAUUGCCGAAGGAUUGGCCCGCGUCCGAUUAGCUAGUUGGUGAGGUAAUGGCUCACCGAGGCGACGAUCGGUAGCUGGUCUGAGAGGAUGAUCAGCCACACUGGGACUGAGACACGGCCCAGACUCCUACGGGAGGCAGCAGUGGGGAAUAUUGGACAAUGGGCGCAAGCCUGAUCCAGCCAUGCCGCGUGAGUGAUGAAGGCCCUAGGGUUGUAAAGCUCUUUCGCCAGGGACGAUAAUGACGGUACCUGGAUAAGAAGCCCCGGCUAACUUCGUGCCAGCAGCCGCAGUAA
rnacentral:rRNA from 1 species